rnacentral:misc_RNA from 1 species
AACAUCGCGCACCUGCGGGAACCUGCGGAAGGAUCAUUAACGAGUUUUGAACGGGUUGUAGCUGGCCUCCCGAGGCAUGUGCACGCCCUGCUCAUCCACUCUACACCUGUGCACUUAUUGUAGGUCGGCGUGGGCUUCAGGCCUCCGGGUCUGUGGCAUUCUGCCGAUCUAUGUACACUACAAACUCUAAAGUAUCAGAAUGUAAUCGCGUCUAACGCAUCUAUAUACAACUUUCAGCAA